ACAAGAGAUGUGCCUUUUUCUUCAGCAUCAACAAUUUGCAUUCCAAGGGGAGACUCAAGAGCAAAUUUGGCACAAGAUGGCCUUUUUGGGAAGAUCUCUUUUACAUCUGACUGGUCUGAAGCACAACUUAAAGAAGAAAUGACUGCCCUUUUCAGAAGAACGUUUCCAUUGUCUAUGGGCCAGUCAUCCCCAUUUGAAUAUUUGAGUCAAGGGAUGCAAAAGACUAAUGAAACCAAACGUCUCAAGCAAUUUUCUGUGGGGUGGAAAAGAAGUUGCCUCGAUUAGUUCAGCCACUUGUCUCUAUAUAAUGGCGUAAUAUUAUUACGCAAACCUGUACAGGAUGAACCUGAGGAACUGACAGUGACUUUGAAAGUCCUGUGGGCUGGAGAAGGAGAGUUCAUAGUGUCACCUUCCACAAUUGAAAGUGAGCUCAUCAGUCAAGGGAGUUAAAACAAUAGACUGCAAGAAAUUCCGUCGCGUCAAGUAAGAACCCUGUUUAUCUGGAGGAAGAGGAGGCUCUUGAAGAGGCAAUUCAGCAUAG